GCCCGGGCGGUGGCGAUGCCCGUGCUCAUCCGCCCACGAAUGAGCAACGGCGCAUCACCAAAGAGAUAUGAUACGGUACUAGAUACUUCUACACAUUGCAAAUACUCAAUGUUGAGAUGAUGUCCACGUCCAAAAUACUUAAUGCGGCCACUUGCGAGCUGCAAGUGGACGACCAGGACCUUGAGCUGAGCAAACAACAACGAAACACACAUUAUUUCUUUCCCCGUCACGUAUAGCUAUCUUCCACCCGUUGGCACUCCAUAUUUGUUACUCCUCCCGUUGCCAGGCGCUGGCCCUAGCAUGCGCACGUGACCGACGCCCUCCAGCCCGUUGGCCGGCUGGUCGUAGUCCGCCACUAUCAUGCCGUCCUUCGUCCGUAUUCAUGACACGAUGAAGACGAUGCGGGAGUCAUGGAGAAUGCGACUCGGUUAAGACUUAUAGAGUGUGAGCAAAUUGUAACCCACAAUUAGAUGCACGCCAUUCAUGUUUAACUUUCGGACACUCUUCCCAUACCUAUCACUCCUAUCCAAUGGUUAGGCUGUCGAGAUAGCAAGCCAGAAAGUGAAAUAGAAGAACAACAAACCUAGCAUUGUCGCUUACUUCUUCAACUCUUGAAAAGUGACA
rnacentral:lncRNA from 1 species